UACGUAGGGUGCGAGCGUUGUCCGGAAUUAUUGGGCGUAAAGAGCUUGUAGGCGGUCUGUCGCGUCUGCUGUGAAAAUCCGGGGCUCAACCCCGGACUUGCAGCGGGUACGGGCAGACUAGAGUGUGGUAGGGGAGACUGGAAUUCCUGGUGUAGCGGUGAAAUGCGCAGAUAUCAGGAGGAACACCGAUGGCGAAGGCAGGUCUCUGGGCCACUACUGACGCUGAGAAGCGAAAGCAUGGGGAGCGAACAGG
rnacentral:rRNA from 1 species